rnacentral:lncRNA from 7 species
GAGCACACAGCAGAACAGGAUGCGCCGCUUCCAGGCUGGCUCUACAGUGCCGGGAGCCCCGCGGCCGUUCCGAGACUCCGGGGGAGCGCAGGAGCGCGGCACAUGGCAGCGGGUCCCGGGGAUCUCGCUGGGCGCUUCCUGCAGGUCCGCGGGGACUUUCCCUGCCUGGAACCCCUCACUGAGCUGAGGGGCGACUGAAAACGAAAAAGAAGAAAAAGCCAGAGACCCCAGGGAAAGAAGAUUGAAAGCAGGAGCUCGGAAUGAAUUGGAAAUUCACACAGAACCUCUUCUCUGUCUUAUUAAUAACCACUUCAGAUCUGCACCAUUGACCGCUGUUAACUAUUAUUAGGGCACUUUGCCUGACUGGUUAGAAGAGAUUUUCUCCUACUGUGUUGAGCAACCAUGGUGUCCAGUCAGCUCGUGCAUAUGUGGGACUCAACACGUAACGUGAAACAAACAGCAACAGUGACAGGACAAAAGGGCCUUUGACAGAGAAAGAUUGAUGGUGGCAAACAGAGAAGUGUCGCAAAGCCAACCUCAUGCUUGCCAAACUCCAAAGACACAUUUGUCAUCCGUGGCACUUUCUCCCUGGUGCAGGCUGCUUGUCAAAGGGACUAGUUCGAGUGUUCAGCAGGCAAGGAGACGUGGAGGUAAAGAAGUGAAGACAUCAUUCUUCAUUACUCACCUCAGAAAGCAGGAAAGGAAAAUAAGAAAGAGUCGACCACAGUACAGUCUUGAUUAAUUACCAGACUUGGCAGUGACAGUGAAAGGAAGAGAAGGGAGAAUUUUAUUGCUAUAUAUACUGAGCGCAAACACAGUUUCCGCAAGAACCAUAAGCUAAAUGAAGCAAGAAUUAGCACCCAGACCUGAAGACUGAAAACACAGACCUGCAGAGAUGUUCAGCUCCCUGCACAGCUGCUCUAGGUCUCAGGCCUUUGUGGUGGACAAACCUCAUGGACUGUCAGCAACUUUGGCCUUCACUAUAAACAAGAUCUUGCAUAUGGAGUUUGUAAUGCACAAGUCCAAUGUAGAGACAAUGAGAGAAAUUCUGAUGCGUAAAACUGAAAUGGCUACAAGGAAGAUUAAAAAACAUUUAAUGUGUUACUUGCAUACAAAUCUGAUGCUUUUACUCAGGGUGAUCUCUUCCCUAAUUUUGACAAAGAUUUUUGUUUGAAAAACCUACCUGUACAGCCAAAGCUGUCAGUAACUGUUCUCUCCUUAGAUGUUAUUUAAAGCAAUUUAGAGUGCAAACAUGCUAGAAAAGCUACUCGUAGCAAAUGUCAUUAUGGCUCUCAUAUUGUGUGCAGUUAGACUUGAAGAAAAAAAUGAUGUUUUUUUUCCUUGCCUCACUGCAAACAUGUAAACUAAGCCUGUGAUCUGAAGUUUUCACCUUUCCAGCUCAUACAUCAUCUGAAAUCAAAUUUUGACUUUUUAAACAAUUACAUAAGAUGUGUAAAACCUGAAGGAAGAUGUAUAUUUUUUCUCUCAAAAUUGUGGCAACUUCAGUAAGAGCGAAAAACAUUUCAAAUGCACCUUUAUCUAUAUAUCUCUCAGCUCCAUGUCUGCAGUCAGAAUAGAUUAUGAAUUGUUU